GUAUGAAUGGCUGUUUUCUAUAGCCCAGCCAUUCGAAUUACUCUUUUUCCCGAACAAACCUGCCGAACGGACGGCCACCCAGGAGAGAAGUGUGCUGCUGGUUAACCUAGUGAUCCCAAUUAGAACGUUGUGGUUAACCGCAGACACUUCUCAAUUAAACCGAAUUCAGGGUGGUCGUCGUUCGUAUGUCGACCACGAGGCAUCGGCCAUUUUAAAC